rnacentral:rRNA from 1 species
GAGUUUGAUCGUGCUCAGGAUGAACGCUGGCGGCGUGCUUAACACAUGCAAGUCGAGCGAAGCGCUCACGCGGAAUUUUUCGGAAGGAAGCGGGAGUGACUUAGCGGCGGACGGGUGAGUAACGCGUGGGUAACCUGCCCCAUACCGGGGAUAACGGUUAGAAAUGACCGCUAAUACCGCUUAAGCGCACGAGGCUGCAUGGCCCUGUGUGAAAAACUCCGGUGGUAUGGGAUGGAUCCGCGUCUGAUUAACUAGUUGGUGAGAUAAAAGCCCACCAAGGCGACGAUCAGUAGCCGACCUGAGAGGGUGGACGGCCACAUUGGGACUGAGACACGGCCCAAACUCCUACGGGAGGCAGCAGUGGGGGAUAUUGGACAAUGGGGGGAACCCUGAUCCAGCGACGCCGCGUGAGUGAAGAAGUAUUUCGGUAUGUAAAGCUCUGUCAGCAGGGAAGAAAGCAAUGACGGUACCUGACCAAGAAGCCCCGGCUAACUACGUGCCGGCAGCCGCCGCUGUAAC